UCAUCAGUGAGGUAUAUCCUUACCUGUUACUCCAGCAAUGGAGCAGCAGAGCGUGAUGAAUGGCGAGCAAUGAGUUGGUGAUUAACCGCUCUUUCUCGCCGGGGACUGCAACUCGCCCUCCGAGACCAUUCUGAU